rnacentral:tRNA from 1 species
GCUGCCGGUAGGUGAGCCGGGUCUCCGGCCCGUCGCCGUCGGGCCGGUAGGUGAAGGCGGUCCGGUCCGGCGUCCGGACGGCAGCG